rnacentral:rRNA from 1 species
GACGAACGCUGGCGGCGUGCUUAACACAUGCAAGUCGAACGGAAAGGCCCUGCUUUUGUGGGGUGCUCGAGUGGCGAACGGGUGAGUAACACGUGAGUAACCUGCCCUUGACUUUGGGAUAACUUCAGGAAACUGGGGCUAAUACCGGAUAGGAGCUCCUGCUGCAUGGUGGGGGUUGGAAAGUUUCGGCGGUUGGGGCUGGACUCGCGGCUUAUCAGCUUGUUGGUGGGGUAGUGGCUUACCAAGGCUUUGACGGGUAGCCGGCCUGAGAGGGUGACCGGCCACAUUGGGACUGAGAUACGGCCCAGACUCCUACGGGAGGCAGCAGGGGGGAAUAUUGCACAAUGGGCGGAAGCCUGAUGCAGCAACGCCGCGUGCGGGAUGACGGCCUUCGGGUUGUAAACCGAUUUCGCCUGUGACGAAGCGUGAGUGACGGUAAUGGGUAAAGAAGCACCGGCUAACUACGUG